UGAGUUCGGGCAGCAGGCGCGU
rnacentral:miRNA from 1 species